rnacentral:SRP_RNA from 1 species
ACUGGGCAUAGUGGCACACUUUUGUAAUCCCUACUAUUGGGGAAGUUAAAGCAGGCAGACCUCUUGAGCUCAGGAGUUCUGACUUGCACUAGACUAAGAGCUGAUUGGGUGUCUGUAAGAUCUGGAAUCAUGUGGUAAUGGGGAUGGAGAAGGAGAAGAACCAAUUUUCCUAAGGAGGGCUGAACCAGCCCAGGUCAGAAAUGGAGCAGGUCAAAGCUUCUGCUAAUCAGUAGCGAGAUCAGGCCCUUGAGUGGCCCUCGUACUUUUGUCCUGGGCAGUAUAGUGAGUCCCACUCUC